rnacentral:tRNA from 1 species
UGGUUGAACGGUAAAGCGCUUGGCUUUCGACCCGGGGUCCCAGGUUCGAAUCCUGG